UGCGUAGGCGGUUCUUUGUGUCCGCUGUGAAAUCCCCGGGCUUGACCUGGGAAUUGCAGUGGAAACUAGAGGACUCAGAAUCCGGCAGAGGGGGGUGGAAUGCCACGUGUAGCAGUGAAAUGCGUAGAGAUGUGGCGGAACACCGAUGGCGAAGGCAGCCCCCUGGGCUGAGAUUGACGCUCAGGCACGAAAGCGUGGGGAGCAAACAGGAUUAGAUACCCUGGUAGUCCACGCCCUAAACGAUGAUCACUAGGUGUUGGGGAAGCGAUUUCCUAGUACCGCAGCUAACGCGUGAAGUGAUCCGCCUGGGGAGUACGGUCGCAAGAUUAAAA
rnacentral:rRNA from 1 species